CAUGUCGAAAAUAAAUGGUAUCUACUUCUAUAUAAUAAAGGAGAAUCAUGGACAAAAAGAACCAAAAUAAUAGUUGUGAAUUUACCAAAGUAACCCUUUUAAUUUUAAAAUAACAAAAAUGCCAGCUUCCAUUGUGUGUGAUCGUUUUAUCUACCCGUAUCUAUUCUUUAUUGCACUAACCUAACAUCUACCGGAAUACACAAGCGCAUCAGAUUCCGUAAACUCAUCCGCGGAAAAGAAUGGUGGAUUAUCCGUCACUUGAAACCAUAAUCCUAGACAUUGCCUAAAUCUUCAUGUCAGAAAAGAAAUGCUCUAAAACUCCUACCACAGCUACACGGCUAGACAAUGAAGAUUCUGGCGAAAGAAAGAUUUAGAGGAGAGUCCAGCGGUGACGGUGCUACGGCUGAAGGGCAUGGAAGCGGAGUUUGCCAGUCAGGGGUAGAGGCAAUGCUCCAGACACAUAUCAUUGAAUUUCUGAUGAUGAGAGCUCAACUAGCAUAUGUAUUUACUCUAAAGGAAGCCUGAUUACGUGUGUUGUAACUUGGUUUAUGAGGCCAGAUUCUGACAAUGUUUUAAAUCUGUAGUUGGAAAAGUACAUGUCGACUCAUUCGGAAACGGUUAAAGUCAUUCUAUUGUAUGAGUGUUGAACUUGCCUCUUCAAGAUUGGAUGUUGGUGGUUUAGAGUUGCUGCUCCCUCCUAUAUUGGCCUACUUUGUGGCAACCCAUAAACACAAUAAAAUCUCUUUAUAUUUUCUGAGUCUCUUGUAUGUAUGUCUCAAAAUAUGUAUCCUGUACUAUUAUCAAAAUUGAUUAUUACAGAUUGUCAACUAGGUAUGUGGAUUGGGAUAGA